rnacentral:rRNA from 1 species
AGACGUCUACAUUAGAUACCCGUGUAGUCCCAGCCGUAAACUAUGCGCGUUAGGUGUAUCGGUGACCACGAGUCACCGAGGUGCCGAAGGGAAACCGUGAAACGUGCCGCCUGGGAAGUACGGUCGCAAGGCUGAAACUUAAGGAAUUGGCGGGGAGCACCACAACGGGUUGGAGCCUGCGGUUUAAUUGGACUCAACGCCGGGAAGCUCACCGGAUAAGACAGCGGAAUGAUUGCCCGGGCUGAAAGACUCUGCAUGACUAGCUG